UCUGGGAGUAAACGGGUGGUACCCGAAAGUUCGAAAGAGGGGAUUCAAGUCUCGCCGCGCGCCGGGCGGCGGACGCGACCAGAGAUGCCGUUUCCGCGGCCGUGGGGUAACCUGCGGACCGGACGCGACACUCCGCGGCCGCCGUAUGUCCCGGUGUCGGAGUGACGCACUUCUCCUCCUGUAGUACGUCGCGACCCGUCGAGCGCCGGCCUAAGGUUCCGGGUGGAGUCUGUGCUGUCUGCUUCGGCCGACGGCGCAUGACCCUGGUAUACCCGGCCGGGUGCCCGACGGUACAAAGCAUGGAAGGAGUCGACGCGCUACUUGUUAGCGUCUGGCCCUCUGCAAGCGCCCACGGUAGACUGGUUGCGGGCCCGGCCCGAUUCCGGUCCUCCGCGGGGCUGUUUGCGAUCAGGAGGUGUUCUCGGACAGCGUUGAUUCUCCAGUCAGCGACGCUACAGCUUGGAUGGCCUACCCGACCC
rnacentral:rRNA from 1 species